UACGAAGGGGACUAGCGUUGUUCGGAAUCACUGGGCGUAAAGGGCUCGUAGGCGGCCAACUAAGUCAUACGUGAAAUCCCUCGGCUUAACCGGGGAACUGCGUCUGAUACUGGAUGGCUUGAGUUCGGGAGAGGGAUGCGGAAUUCCAGGUGUAGCGGUGAAAUGCGUAGAUAUCUGGAGGAACACCGGUGGCGAAGGCGGCAUCCUGGACCGAUACUGACGCUGAGGAGCGAAAGCCAGGGGAGCAAACGGG
rnacentral:rRNA from 1 species